UUCUCCGUGAAUGGAAAAAAAAAUACAAUAGCAACAAAAAAUCCGUUAGCACAAGAACUUAUCGGCAAAAGGACUGGGCUGAGCCACUACGAUAAGCUACUGGCGAACACGAUGUAUCCAUGCAUUAGAAAAUGGAUGCAGAAUUGCAGCAUAUCCACGAACCCUUGUCAGAACGAUGGCUACAUUGGUAAAAAGUUUGUGGGCCUGUGUUUGUCGCAGCGGAACAAGUGGCGCUAACUGCCAGAUUGUUAAUCAAAGCUACUACGAUAGUCUUAUCUCAGGUUGUUCAGCGAAGGUUACUGCACCAGGAACAAUAAAAUCUCCCAACUACCCUAGUAAUUACCCAGCAGGUGCAAGAUGCGUAAAAUGGAUCCAGGGCCCUAAAUGUACCAUUGUGAAGAUAAAGUUCAAUUCUUUUAGACUUUAUGGAAAAAAUCCUUAUUGUGGCGGAAAACAUCUGCUGUUAUUUCGACGCCCUGGGAGAUAAGGACCACCAACUUACUGUUGGUGACGUUUACUGUGAUCGAGAUAUUGCUGCCGGAAAAGAAUUCAAGUCUUCAAGCAAUCAGAUGAUCCUUUUCUUCAGGACAGAAUCAAGCUUCUAUCCUGGAUGGUCUGCUAAUGUGACCUUUGAACGUGUUCCUUCAUGUCUUCCAAGUACGACCACAACUACUGGUGGUAAAUGCAAGAAAGUACAGUUGAGUCCCAUCUCAACGCAAUGGACGUCUCCCU